rnacentral:lncRNA from 1 species
UAGAAUAGAAAUUGCAACAAUAAAAUCUUAACUCUAAUAGAAUACUAACUAAACUCUAAUUAGACCAUAAUAAUGCUAAGCAAGCUUUAAUCAAAUUCAAAGAAACCUCAAAGAAAUUAUAAAGAAAUAAUAAGAAAUCUUAAAGAAAUAGUAAAAUGAUUACAAAUAUAUCUCAAAUACAUCUUAAUUCAAUCUUAACUUAAUCCUAGUCAAAAUCCUAUUGGACUUCAUUCAAACUUUAGGCCAAAAAUUAAUUAAAUCUUAAAUCUUAAAAAAACCCUAAUAAAAUCCUAAAUCCUAAAUCAAAUCCUAAAUCCUAAUCAAAUCCUAAUCAUAAAUCAAAUCUUAAUCAAAUCCUAAUCUUAAAUCAAAUCCUAAUCAGCCUCUAAAUCCUAAACCAAAUUCUAAUCAAACCUUAAAUCUUAAACCAAAUCCUAAA